UAAAUAUUCAUAGGUAACGGUUGGGCAUGCGUCCUAUUAGAUAGUUGGGGGGGUAACGGCCCACCAAGUCGAUGAUAGGUAGGGGUUCUGAGAGGAAGGUCCCCCACACUGGUACUGAGACACGGACCAGACUCCUACGGGAGGCAGCAGUGAGGAAUAUUGGUCAAUGGGCGAGAGCCUGAACCAGCCAAGUCGCGUGAGGGAUGACUGCCCUAUGGGUUGUAAACCUCUUUUGUAUGGGGGGAAUAAGCUUUACGAGUAGAGUGAUGACAGUACCAUACGAAUAAGCAUCGGCUAACUCCGUGCCAGCAGCCGCGGUAAUACGGAGGAUGCGAGCGUUAUCCGGAUUUAUUGGGUUUAAAGGGUGCGUAGGCGGCAUUAUAAGUUAGUGGUAAAAUAUUGGGGCUUCACCUCACUACGCCAUUAAUACUGUAGAGCUAGAGAACAGACGAGGUAGGCGGAAUAAGUUAAGUAGCGGUGAAAUGCAUAGAUAUAACUUAGAACACCGAUAGCGAAGGCAGCUUACCAGACUGAGUCUGACGCUGAUGCACGAGAGCAUGGGUAGCGAACAGGAUUAGAUACCCUGGUAGUCCAUGCCGUAAACGAUGCUCACU
rnacentral:rRNA from 1 species